GCCCAUCGGGUGGCCCUAAGUGCAUGGGCCACCCGAUAGGCCCCAUCAGCGUGCGGGCCUCGGUGCAACUGCACCAGUGGCAUUUCCGCCGCUACACAUGGGGCUCGGGCGGCUGGGCCCCCCAGGGCCGCCGGGCCUGUGACAACCGUCAUGGUUGUCACCCCCUGAUGGCGGCCCUGUUGGACACCGCAACAUUUUGACCUGUACCCAGGUCUUUAUCAAGUCUCCCGUGUCCCUAUGUAUCACAGCGUCUCCCUGCCCUAUGUCUCCAAGUGCAGUGGCGUACAUACCAGGGUCACAGGGGUCGCGACUGCGAC